rnacentral:rRNA from 1 species
CUUCUGACCUCAAAUCAGGUAGGACUACCCGCUGAACUUAAGCAUAUCAAUAA